rnacentral:misc_RNA from 1 species
GAUGAAGAACGCAGCGAAACGCGAAAGGUAAUGUGAAUUGCAGAAUUCAGUGAAUCAUCGAAUCUUUGAACGCACAUUGCGCCCGCCAGUAUUCUGGCGAGCAUGCCUGUUCGAGCGUCAUUUCAACCAUCAAGCCCCAGGCUUGUGUUGGAGCCCUGCGGCUGCCGCAGCCUCCCAAAACCAGUGGCGGGCUCGCUAUCACACCGAGUGCAGUAGUUUACUCUUCGCUCAGGGCGUGUGGCGGGUGCUAGCCGUGAAACCCCCAACUUCUCAAGGUUGACCUCGGAUCAGGUAGGAAUACCCGCUGAACUUAAGCAUAUCAAUAAGCGGAGGA